GCAAACUUGGUCAUUUAGAGGAAGUAAAAGUCGUAACAAGGUUUCCGUAGGUGAACCUGCGGAAGGAUCAUUAAUGAGUUUGCGCGGUCGCUGCUGGUUAUUACAAGUGCACACCGUGUCUUUCUUAUCCACCCCUCACUGUGCAUCUCGGUACGCCUCUGCGCGUAGUCCUUUUAACACACAACCUGUAAUAAAGUGUAGAACGUGCUUGUCGGAAUAAUAAUACAACUAUCAACAACGGAUCUCUUGGCAUCCCACUCGAUGAAGAACGCAGC
rnacentral:misc_RNA from 1 species